rnacentral:snoRNA from 13 species
GGGAAUAUAAUACUAAAUACUCUGUUAUAUAGAACUUUCUACGCCUUUUCCUCUAUGGCUAUGAAAGCGUGGACAACGGAGAUCAAAUAGACCAAUUACUGAAUAUGGCUUUUGACAUAUCUUCUUCUUCAUGGGUGAGGAUUAAGCUGAUAUCCUGACCCACCUAUCAUUAGUCCUUCAGACAUAC